GGAAGGAUCAUUAACAAAUCUACUACACACGAUCUCCUGGCGCAAGCCUCGAGCAUCUACACACGAUAAUUUUGACGAAGCUCUAGACGAAUCUAAAGCAAACAACUUUUAACAAUGGAUCUCUUGGCUCUUGCAGCGAUGAAGAACGCGGCGAACUGCGAAAAGUAAUGUGACCUGCAAACUUUGUGAAUCAUCCAAUCUUUGAACGCAAUUUGCACCUGAUGGCAUUUGUCAACAGGUAUACUUGUUUGAGUAUCUACAACACACUCUCACGCUCCGUGGGGAAUUGAGCGUCUCGACCGAGUCGCUUUAAAGAGAGACCCGGGCUCCGCAAGGCGCCGGUCUAUUGGGAUAACAUCCUAACAGUAGACUGCAGGGUUUGUAUCUUAAAAUACAAUACAAACAGAUCUCAAAUCAAGUAAGGAUACCCGCUGAAUUUAAGCAUAUUAAUAAGCGGAGGAAAAGAAACUAACAAGGAUUCCCCUAGUAGCGGCGAGCGAAGAGGGAAGAGCUCAAAUUUAAAAUCUGGUGUCUUUGGCAUCCGAAUUGUAUUUGAUAGAGCGCUUCUUUGUGAUCAGCUGUGGCCCAAGUCCUUUGGAAAAAGGCAACAAAGAGGGUGAUAUUCCCGUCUGGGCCAUGGACUGUGAGCUGUUGAGAAGCGUUCAACGAGUCGGAUUGCUUGGGAAUGCAGUCCAAAAUGGGUGGUACACGCCAUCUAAAGCUAAAUAACGGCAAGAGACCGAUAGCGAACAAGUACCGUGAGGGAAAGAUGAAAAGAACUUUGAAAAGAGAGUUAAAUAGUACGUGAAAUUGUUAAAAGGGACCCGAUUGAGAUCAGUGAUGGCUGCUGCAGUUCAGCCUGUCGGAAGACGGGUGUAUUGUGCAGCAGCCAAGUCGACUCUUCUUUGGUGCGCUGGACAAGGCUGCGGGAAAUGUGGCUCUGCUUGCAGUUGCUUUAUAGUCCCGCAGAGAUACAGGGUGCUGGAGACGCAGUCGACGAAAUGGUCUUAAACGACCCGUCUUGAAACACGGACCAAGGAGUCUAACAACUAUGCGAGUAUUUGAGUGGCAAACUCGAGUGCGCAAAGAAAUUGAACGCGUGGGACUGGGGCCGCUACGGCGGCUCCAUGCACCACGGGCCGGUCCUUGUCGCUGACUUGGAUUGCGCUAGAGCAUAUCUGUUGGGACCCGAAAGAUGGUGAACUAUGCCUGAAUAGGGUGAAGCCAGAGGAAACUCUGGUGGAGGCUCGUAGACAUUCUGACGUGCAAAUCGAUGUUCAAAUUUGGGUAUAGGGGCGAAAGACUAAUCGAACCAUCUAGUAGCUGGUUCCCUC
rnacentral:misc_RNA from 1 species